CCUACGGGUGGCAGCAGUAGGGAAUCUUCCACAAUGGGCGAAAGCCUGAUGCAGCAACGCCGCGUGGGUGAAGAAGGUCUUCGGAUCUUAACACCCUGUUGUUAGAGAAGAAAGUGCGUGAGAGUAACUGUUCACGUUUCGACGGUAUCUAACCAGAAAGCCACGGCUAACUACGUGCCAGCAGCCGCGGUAAUACGUAGGUGGCAAUCGUUAUACGGAUUUAUUGGGCGUAAAGGGACCGCAGGCGGGCUUUUAAGUCUGAUGUGAAAGCCUUCGGCUUAACCGGAGUAGUGCAUUGGAAACUGGGGGACUUGAGUGCAGAAGAGGAGAGGGGAACUCCAGGUGUAGCGGUGAAAUGCGUAGAUAUAUGGAAGAACACCAGUGGCGAAAGCGGCUCUCUGGUCUGUAACUGACGCUGAGGUUCGAAAGCGUGGGUAGCAAACAGGAUUAGAUACCCGUGUAGUC
rnacentral:rRNA from 1 species